AUGGAUUUUAGACUUCUUGAAACCAAACUCUCUUCUUCUCCUCGUGCACGGUGCAUAACCUCCCUAUACUCUUCUUCUCCGAUCAACGAAAUACAAUUUUGCCAUGAACGAGCGCAUCACAUCACCUUCUUUCCUUCUCCGCCUUUGUUCAUCUCCUCACUGAUCGAACCGGAGGCCUCACCGUGCCAGAUACCACAAAAGAUGAUUAAUGUGCUCUGA